CGGCGGGGCUUGGCAGGCGCGCUCCGACUCCGGUCGGGUGUAGGGGUUGCACUCGGUCUCUCUGGCUGUUUUGCGCGUUCCCAUCUGACAGCCCACAUUUCUCCUUCGCACGCCUUGGCCGCAGGACACGGAGCACUACAAGGACAAGAGGAUUGAAAGGGACCCAGGAAAUGUCUACAAUCUGCAGCCUCAUUGCCUAUCAAAGCCAGUUGAGUGAGGAAGAGACUCAAGUUUGGGGGUAAUUUCUCAAGGUAACAAAACUCCUGGACAAUGGAAGAGGCCGGGAGACAUCAUUCAGAGACAUUCAGUACCAUCCUAGAGUACUGCUGCCAUGGGAAAUGAAAAUCCCAAGUGAUUUCUAUCCUGGAAGGUUGGAGGGCCUUGAAAAUUGGAGAGACAGUUGCACACAAGAGAAUUUCUUGGCAGAUGAAAAUUAUAACUCAAGGAGAGAAAAUCACUGAAGAUUUUAUGGCCUUAUAAGUAGAAUUAUUUUCUCCAGCCUCUUCUUCUUCUUGCUCCUAUUACUGGAGAUAGGGGAAUUUGGAUGAAUGUAUGAAAAAUAAAACCUGACAGAAAAAAACUAUUUCCUUGGGCGUUGUGUUUUCAGCCCGUGAAAAGUACUGUUAAUCAGGCUGAAACAUUUUGUUGACCAAGCUGCAAAACACCCUGUUAAUCUGCAAUUAACUUUUCUCUAAAUUAAUUUUUUAGUGGUUUCCUCGUUACUGGGUUUUAUAAUCUCACUCAUGGGCAGGCCAAGAAUUAUUAUCUUUAUUAAGCUUUUGACAGUGAGAAACUAAAGGCAACAUUUAACUGGAAAGAAAUGCCUGUUAUUUCACUUAGCUAUUAAAAAUUGUUUCCAAGUUUGUGUGAUA